rnacentral:rRNA from 1 species
UACGUAGGGUGCAAGCGUUGUCCGGAAUUAUUGGGCGUAAAGAGCUCGUAGGCGGCUUGUCGCGUCGGCUGUGAAAACCUGGGGCUCAACCCCGGGCCUGCAGCCGAUACGGGCAAGCUAGAAUUCGGUAGGGGAGACUGGAAUUCCUGGUGUAGCGGUGAAAUGCGCAGAUAUCAGGAGGAACACCGGUGCGCGAAGGCAGCUCGCUGGGACGACUGACGCUGAGACGACGAAGCUGGGGAGCAAACAGG